UACAGAGGGUGCAAGCGUUAAUCGGAAUUACUGGGCGUAAAGCGUGCGUAGACGGUUACAUAAGUCGGGUGUGAAAGCCCCGGGCUCAACCUGGGAAUUGCAUUCGAGACUGCGUAGCUAGGGUGCGGAAGAGGGAAGCGGAAUUUCCGGUGUAGCGGUGAAAUGCGUAGAUAUCGGAAGGAACACCAGUGGCGAAGGCGGAUCUCUGGGCCAUUACUGACGCUGAGGAGCGAAAGCGUGGGGAGCGAACAGG
rnacentral:rRNA from 1 species